rnacentral:rRNA from 1 species
AACGAACGCUGGCGGCAGGCUUAACACAUGCAAGUCGAGCGCCCCGCAAGGGGAGCGGCAGACGGGUGAGUAACGCGUGGGAAUCUACCCAUCUCUACGGAAUAACGCAUGGAAACGUGUGCUAAUACCGUAUACGUCCUUCGGGAGAAAGAUUUAUCGGAGAUGGAUGAGCCCGCGUUGGAUUAGCUAGUUGGUGGGGUAAAGGCCUACCAAGGCGACGAUCCAUAGCUGGUCUGAGAGGAUGAUCAGCCACACUGGGACUGGGACACGGCCCAGACUCCUACGGGGGGCAGCAGUGGGAAUAUUGGACAAUGGGCGCAAGCCUGAUCCAGCCGUGCCGCGUGAGUGAUGAAGGCCCUAGGGUUGUAAAGCUCUUUCACCGGUGAAGAUAAUGACGGUAACCGGAGAAGAAGCCCCGGCUAACUUCGUGCCAGCCGCCGCCGUAACAC